rfam:Coniochaeta ligniaria NRRL 30616 unplaced genomic scaffold CONLIGscaffold_4, whole genome shotgun sequence.
GCCCGGGUAGCUCAGUUGGCUAGAGCGUGGGACUUUUACGACACCUUUAAGUCUGACAUCCCAAUGUCGAGGGUUCGAGCCCCUCUUCGGGCG